rnacentral:tRNA from 1 species
UUAGUAGCUCAGUUGGUUAGAGUGCCGGCCUGUCACGCCGGAGGUCGAGGGUUCGAGUCCCUUCUA